GCUCAGUGUUUGAGCAAUUUAAUGAAGUGUUACACACAAGCUGACCUUGUAGAGGGAGAAGCUCGCGGCUCUCUCGGCGUUUCGGGAGGCCCUGGCCACUCUGUUUGACAUCUGAGCUUAACACCAACCCCGGAUUGGACUCAUUACCGUCUGCGAGGUUCUGGGAACAGCCAAGGGGGAGACCAGCCUUUGCUAGUGCAGUCCAGUGACAGGAAGGGGUGGUAAAAAUAGUGGCUCCUGAUCCUCAGCGUCGUGAGGCCAGAGGUGCUGGUUUGAAUGACAUGUUCAGUUUUCAUAAACAUGGCAAUGGUCCCCCUGCGGAGCCAGACAGGAGGAAAGGAUGGGGCUCAGAGUGGGCGGUGGACAGGGUCAGCCGAGUGUAAAUGCCAGAGCUUCUGGCUGGCAUCUGAUCUCCAGGUGAGCUGGUGGAGUUGGGAGGGGUGUGUCUCUGCCAGAGGAGCAAGAAACUCCACAGAGAGUUCAGGAUGAAGGAACCAGAGGCAUUCGGUGAUGCUACAGAGAUGUGCACCCAUAGAAAAGGGUCAGAGGAACAGGAUUCUAAGACCCCUGUGGUUAUUGAGCUUUGACCAUAUAUCACUUCUCUCCCUAGCUGCCCUAUUCACUGUGUUUCAGCCACAGUAGUCUUUGGCUAAUUCUUAGGACAUUCAAAGAUCCUCCCACCACAGUCCCUUUGCACACACUUCUCCCUCUGCCAAGGAUGCUUCUUUUUGUUUUUCACAAUGACAGCCACUUUAAGCCUUUUUAUAUCAGUUUACAUGUACUCUUAUCAGAGAGGCAUCUGGGCAGCUCAUGAGCAGUGUAAGCCCACAGGUGCUGGGUACAGUAAUGAAUUAAUAAUUGUUAGACAAUAAUCCUCUGCAUUCAUUUUUGGAAAGCUCAAUACAGUCAGCCCUCUGAAUCCACAGGUUGUGCGUCUGCACACUCAACCAACCAUGGUUUGAAGGGAUUUGGAAAAAAUGCAUCUGUAUUGAAUAUGUACAGACUCCUUUUUCUUGUCAUUAUUCCCUCAACAAUGCAGUCUAACAACUAUUUGCACAGAAUUUACAUAGUAUUAGGUAUCAUAAGUAAUCUAGAGAUGAUUUAAAGUAUAUGGGAGGAUAUGUGUAGGCUCUGUGCAAAUACUGCCCCGUUUUUCAUAAGGGACUUGAGCAUCUGCAGAUUUGGGUAUCCACGGGG
rnacentral:lncRNA from 1 species